GACGAACGCUGGCGGCGUGCUUAACACAUGCAAGUCGAACGGAAAGGCCCUGCUUUUGUGGGGUGCUCGAGUGGCGAACGGGUGAGUAGCACGUGAGUAACCUGCCCUUGACCUUGGGAUAACUUCAGGAAACUGGGGCUAAUACCGGAUAGGAGCUCCUGCUGCAUGGUGGGGGUUGGAAAUUUUCGGCGGUUGGGGAUGGACUCGCGGCUUAUCAGCUUGUUGGUGGGGUAGUGGCUUACCAAGGCUUUGACGGGUAGCCGGCCUGAGAGGGUGACCGGCGACAUUGGGACUGAGAGACGGCCCAGACUCCUACGGGAGGCAGCAGUGGGGAAUAUUGCACAAUGGGCGGAAGCCUGAGGCAGCAACGCCGCGUGCGGGAUGACGGCCUUCGGGUUGUAAACCGCUUUCGCCUGUGACGAAGCGUGAGUGACGGUAAUGGGUAAAGAAGCACCGGCUAACUACGUG
rnacentral:rRNA from 1 species